AGAGUUAAACAGUACGUGAAAUUGUUGAAAGGGAAACGAUUGAAGCCAGUCGUAUCAGCGGAUAAUCAACCUUUAGAUGCGAUUUUGUGGAGUGUGAGGAGCUAAUCGCCUUCAUGCCUGUAUAUUCGUGUACUUGGGGUGUACUUAUUCGUGUGGUAAGUUAACAUCAAUUUUGGUUAUCAUAAAAUGACUGGAGGAAUGUAGCUUCGAUUUCGUAUUGAAGUGUUAUAGCCUUCGGUAGAUGUGAUGAACGAGAUUGAGGAUUGCAACGGAUACCCUUCGGGGCUACCUGUCUGGUCUCUGAUCGUUGCUCUGGUGCCGAAAGCUUGCUUACGGUUAUCAAAGUCGAUGGUCAAUAGGUUAGAACGGGUUAAAUUCGUUAAGGAUGUUGACGUAAUGGCUUUAAACGACC
rnacentral:misc_RNA from 1 species